AUUGAACGCUGGCGGCAGGCUUAACACAUGCAAGUCGAGCGGGGGAAGGUAGCUUGCUACCGGACCUAGCGGCGGACGGGUGAGUAAUGCUUAGGAAUCUGCCUAUUAGUGGGGGACAACAUUUCGAAAGGGAUGCUAAUACCGCAUACGUCCUACGGGAGAAAGCAGGGGAUCUUCGGACCUUGCGCUAAUAGAUGAGCCUAAGUCGGAUUAGCUAGUUGGUGGGGUAAAGGCCUACCAAGGCGACGAUCUGUAGCGGGUCUGAGAGGAUGAUCCGCCCCACUGGGACUGAGACACGGCCCAGACUCCUACGGGAGGCAGCAGUGGGGAAUAUUGGACAAUGGGGGGAACCCUGAUCCAGCCAUGCCGCGUGUGUGAAGAAGGCCUUAUGGUUGUAAAGCACUUUAAGCGAGGAGGAGGCUACUUUAGUUAAUACCUAGAGAUAGUGGACGUUACUCGCAGAAUAAGCACCGGCUAACUCUGUGCCAGCCGCCGCGGUAA
rnacentral:rRNA from 1 species